CCAGGCCUAAAGACUGAAAAAUGCACAACCAAAGAAAGAAAAAUCAAAGUUGAUUUCAACGCUAAUCAUUCGCUGCAUGGCCAACCUCAGGUUUUGCCUUGCACUUUUUUAUUUUAUUUUUUGUAUGUUAUUUUUACACUUAAAUUCUUAAAUAAUGUUUAGAUUGAUUUAGAAAUUUAAAAUAAUAUAAAAAUAAGAAAACUCUUCACGCUUUUUUACAUCUACGGCCUCGCCUAACCCGAAACUUGGCCUCCAUGCCUUGCCUGCUUUAUGUUCUUUGAACCCCAUUCUUAAGUGAAUGGUGCGUAGGAAGGUAAUUUUUUGAUGAAGAUACAUCAACGUAACUAUAUUCUACCUUAAACAAACUUCCUACUCUACUGAAUUUACAGGCAUGCGAUAUUUUGGUCAACGAACGUAAUGUACUGAAUUUAAAGGCGUGUACUAUUUUAUUAUGGAAUUAGCAUUGAAUUUUUUUUUUUUACCUCAUUAGUUAAUGUACUCGUUUUCUUUUUAUGGGAUCCGAAUGAGUUAUGACAGCCUACAAGAUGGCCUAGCGAGGGCUCACAGUCACAGGGGCGAAAGUCAGUUCGACUCGCCGAACCAACUUUUUCACUAGUCUUCGUAUUAAGGUUACAAACAUCAAUAUUAUUGUGAGAACCAAUUGUUUUAGGACACGUAAUUCUGUAUAUUGCCUCAUUGCGUACACGAUUUGAGGGAAUUUGAACAGGGACUUUCAAAUAAG
rnacentral:lncRNA from 1 species